rnacentral:rRNA from 1 species
UCAAGCAGCCAUAUCACUCUGCAACUCACAAUUGGCUAAAGCUAAAGCAGGUGUGAGCCUGGUCAGUACCUGGAUGGGAGACCUCCUGGGAAAAACUAAGGUUGCUGCUGGAA